UACGUAGGGUGCAAGCGUUGUCCGGAAUUAUUGGGCGUAAAGAGCUCGUAGGCGGUUUGUCACGUCUGCUGUGAAAACUCGGGGCUUAACUCCGGGCCUGCAGUGGGUACGGGCAGACUAGAGUGCGGUAGGGGAGACUGGAAUUCCUGGUGUAGCGGUGAAAUGCGCAGAUAUCAGGAGGAACACCGGUGGCGAAGGCGGGUCUCUGGGCAUCUCCUGACGCUGAGGCACGAAAGCGUGGGGAUCAAACAGG
rnacentral:rRNA from 1 species